rnacentral:lncRNA from 1 species
CCAGCUGGGCAGUGAGACGGUCUACUGAUCCACCCCCAAUAUUUUCUUUCUAGAUCAACAGUUUUAGACUAUUGUUGAAUUUGAUUGAGUAAUCAUGUGAAGAAAGAUGGUAGAGAGCGAAGAAGAAAAGCAGUGCAAGAUUUUGAUUACUUGUGGGUUUGUGUAAAAUUAAGUUUUUUAUGCCUCUGGUUGGAAUUGGGUUUUGAAGUUUGUAGCUUUUCUUGAAAUUAUUUCUUGGGCUUUGGGUUUGAUGGGUGCAGAAGUAGAGAAGAUGAUAGUAAUAAAAAAGGAAGAGAUGGAACUGUGAGGACAGAGAAAAAGCUGCACAGUAGCAAUUUUACAUGCAUACAAAACUGUGCUUCUUGGGAUUGUUGUCUUUCAUGGGAGUUUGGUUGCCAUUUCUCAUAACUCCCAACUGAAAACACCUUCUCAUAGAAAGAAAAAAAACACACACACCACACACACUACCUCUCACCUCUUUAAAGUUCUAACCUCUCUCACUUUGACACACACUCUCACUCUCACUCUCACUCUCACACUCUCCAAGUUGGUGGGUUUCCAAGAGAGAUCUGAAAUAGACUACUACUGUUAACUGUGUGUAAAUUUGGGGUAUAGCGAUCAAAGAAUGAAGAGACUCAGCAACUCUGAUUCCUUGGGUGGUUUGAUGUCCAUCUGUCCCAACGCUACAGGUGAAAAAAAAGAGGAGAAUAAAUUUAUUCCAUUCUGCACUUUGUUAUUUAUAAACUGUGUUUUUAUGGGAUCAUAUUAUUACAAAACCUUUGGAACAAAAAGAGUCCAUGUUUUCUUGUCCCUAUGAUUUAUGAUAUGAUUCUUGCUGAAAUCGAGACUCAUUUGUUUUGUUGCCACUUUUAGUAAGAUUUAUGCUCCCCUGUUUUCAACCAAUCCCUGUCUCUGAAGCCUUAGCUUUAGGUGUUGUAGAUUUGAAUUUGAUAAUGAUGGUGUGGUGUCUCAGAGGAAGAAAGCAAUAAUCCGAUGUACGCUAGGGAGUUCCAGACGAUGCUGGAGGGUUUGGAGGAGGAGGAAUCGGGGCACGUGUCGGAGAAGAAACGGAGAUUGAGCGUGGAUCAGGUCAAGGCAUUGGAGAAGAAUUUCGAGGUCGAGAAUAAGCUUGAGCCGGAGAGGAAAGUCAAGCUGGCUCAGGAGCUCGGUCUGCAGCCGCGCCAGGUCGCCGUCUGGUUCCAGAACCGCCGCGCGCGCUGGAAGACCAAGCAGUUGGAGAGAGACUACGGCGGCCUCAAGGCCAGCUACGACGGCCUCAAGCUCAACUUCGAGAGGCUCCAACGCGACAAUGAAUCUCUACUCAAAGAGGUCACAAAAUCACUCAUUCAAAUCAAUUCCCUUAAUUGCUAAACUGAUGAUUCUGUUGAUUUAAGCAGAUUCGCGAGCUCAAAUCAAGCUCAACGGAGACGACGAGGAGAAGACGAGACUCGAAAGCGAGAUCGGCGGCGCCGAAGCGGAGAUGGAAAAUCCCGAGGGCGGGAAGAAGGAGGAGGCGAGUUGGCCGAAAUUCGGCGACGGAUCGUCGGACAGCGAUUCGAGCGCGAUCCUGAACGAGGAGAACAUAGGGUUCCAGUUAGGGGCUCCGCAGCUGGUGAAAAUCGAGGAGCACAAUUUCUUCGGGGAGGAAUCGUGCAGCACGUUGUUUUCCGACGAUCAACCGCCGUCGCUGCCCUGGUAUUGCAAUGAUCAGUGGGAUUGA